GACGAACGCUGGCGGCGUGCCUAAUACAUGCAAGUUGAGCGCUGAAGGUUGGUACUUGUACCAACUGGAUGAGCAGCGAACGGGUGAGUAACGCGUGGGGAAUCUGCCUUUGAGCGGGGGACAACAUUUGGAAACGAAUGCUAAUACCGCAUAAAAACUUUAAACACAAGUUUUAAGUUUGAAAGAUGCAAUUGCAUCACUCAAGGAUGAUCCCGCGUUGUAUUAGCUAGUUGGUGAGGUAAAGGCUCACCAAGGCGAUGAUACAUAGCCGACCUGAGAGGGUGAUCGGCCACAUUGGGACUGAGACACGGCCCAAACUCCUACGGGAGGCAGCAGUAGGGAAUCUUCGGCAAUGGACGAAAGUCUGACCGAGCAACGCCGCGGGAGUGAAGAAGGGUGUCGGAUCGUAAAACUCUGUUGGUAGAGAAGAACGUUGGUGAGAGUGGAAAGCUCAUCAAGUGACGGUAACUACCCAGAAAGGGACGGCUAACUACGUG
rnacentral:rRNA from 1 species